rnacentral:rRNA from 1 species
GUGGAUUAGAUACCCGAGUAGUCCACGCCCUAAACUAUGGAUACUCGACAUUAGCGAUACACCGUUAGUGUCUAAGCGAAAGCAUUAAGUAUCCCACCUGGGAAGUACGACCGCAAGGUUGAAACUCAAAGGAAUUGACGGGGGUCCGCACAAGUGGUGGAGUAUGUGGUUUAAUUCGAUGCUACGCGAGGAACCUUACCUAGGCUAGAAUGCUGGUGGACCGAGGGUGAAAGCUCUUUUUGUAGCAAUACACCGCCAGCAAGGUGCUGCACGGCCGUCGUCAACU